AGGGAAACAGCCCAGACCGCCGACUAAGGUCCCCAAUGCUGUACUAAGUGGAAAAGGAUGUAAGACUUCAUAAACAACCAGGAUGUUGGCUUAGAAGCAGCCACCAUUAAAAGAGUGCGUAAUAGCUCACUGGUCGAGAGGCCUUGCGCCGAAGAUGUCCGGGGCUCAAGUACAGAACCGAAGUCGCGGCAGGAUUAUAUAAUUCUGGGUAGGGGAGCGUUGUAUAUCCGACUGAAGGUGUACCGGAAGGAGCGCUGGAGGAUAUACAAGAGAGAAUGCCGGUAUGAGUAGCGAAAAGAACAGUGAGAAUCUGUUCCACCGAAAGCCUAAGGUUUCCUGAGCAACGCUCGUCGACUCAGGGUAAGUCGGGACCUAAGCCGAGGCAAAAAGCAUAGGCGAUGGACAACAGGUUAAUAUUCCUGUACCGCUUCAAAUCGUUUGAGCAAUGGAGUGACACAGAAGGUAGCUUGAGCACGCGAUUGGAUGUGCGUGUCGAAGGUGGUAGGUUGCAGUAUAGGCAAAUCCGUACUGUAUAAGACCGAGAACUGAUAGAUAGACAAUACUUCGGUAAAGUCAAAUUCAAGUGAGCCAUGCUGUCGAGAAAAGCUUCUAGUGAGAGAUGAGGCGCCCGUACCGAAACCGACACAGGUAGGCGGGGAGAGAAUCCUAAGGUGCGCGGGACAACCCUCGUUAAGGAACUCGGCAAAUUGUAUCCGUAACUUAGGGAUAAGGAUAGCCGGAGGAUGUGAAGGGAUUUACUUCUGGAGCGUCAGCCGGUGGCACAAGAGAGGCCCAAGCGACUGUUUAGCACAAACACAGGUGCCUGCAAAAGAGAAAUCUGACGUAUAGGUGCUGACACCUGCCCGGUGCUGGAAGGUUAAGAGGAGGGCUUAGAGGCAACUCGAAGGCUUGAAUUGAAGCCCCAGUAAACGGCGGCCGUAACUAUAACGGUCCUAAGGUAGCGAAAUUCCUUGUCGGGUAAGUUCCGACCCGCACGAAAGGUGUAACGACUUGGGCACUGUCUCAACGAGGGACCCGGUGAAAUUGAAGUACCUGUGAAGAUGCAGGUUACCCGCGACUGGACAGAAAGACCCCAUGGAGCUUUACUGCAACCUGACAUUGAUGUUCGGUAAAUAACGUACAGGAUAGGUGGGAGACGGAGAAGUAUUGGCGUUAGCUGAUAUGGAGUCAACCUUGGGAUACCACCCUUUAUUUAUUGGACCUCUAACUGAAGAAGUAACGACUCUCAGGACAGUAUCAGGCGGGCAGUUUGACUGGGGCGGUCGCCUCCCAAAAUGUAACGGAGGCGCCCAAAGGUUCCCUCAGCGCGAACGGAAACCGCGCAAAGAGUGUAAAGGCAGAAGGGAGCUUGACUGCGAGUCAGACACGACGAGCAGGUACGAAAGUAGGGCUUAGUGAUCCGGUGGUUCCGAGUGGAAGGGCCAUCGCUCAACGGAUAAAAGCUACCCUGGGGAUAACAGGCUAAUCUCUCCCAAGAGUCCAUAUCGACGGGGAGGUUUGGCACCUCGAUGUCGGCUCAUCACAUCCUGGGGCUGGAGCAGGUCCCAAGGGUUGGGCUGUUCGCCCAUUAAAGUGGUACGUGAGCUGGGUUCAGAACGUCGUGAGACAGUUCGGUCCAUAUCCAUCGCGGGCGUAAGAGACUUGAAGGGGGCUGCUCCUAGUACGAGAGGACCGGAGUGGACGGACCAAUGGUGUACCAAUUAUCCCGCCAGGGGUACAGUUGGGUAGCUACGUCCGGAAAAGAUAAACGCUGAAAGCAUCUAAGCGUGAAACUUGCCUUAAGAUGAGGUCUCCCGAAGCGAAAGCUUGAAAGACACCUUGAAGAUGACGAGGUUGAUAGGCCAGGAGUAGAAGUUCAGUAAUGAAUGUAGCGUACUGGUACUAAUAUGUCGAGAGCUUAACUUA
rnacentral:rRNA from 1 species